rnacentral:lncRNA from 1 species
AAAGCAGUAGUUGGUUAAAACUACAUAUAACUUGUUCUCAUAAAUUGACAAGACUAGCUUUUGAUCUUCAGGGCUCUUGCCAUAGUGCUAGUAAAAUAGAGCAUACUCAGAAGCUGUUUGAUGAAAUGCCUAAGAAAAAUAAACCAGAAACACAGAUUAAUAGCAAUUAUAGCAUAGCCCAUAUUAAGUAAAAUCACCCGCAUACCUCAAUUUGUCCUUGAAGAUGAAGGCUGAUGAUGGCUAGCUAAUGAUGGCUUGAAGAUGAAGACUGUCGGGCUUGAAGAUGGCUAGCUUGAUGGCUUGAAGAUGAAGAAUGAGAGUGAGAGACAGUGAAGAUGAAAGCUGAGAAAGUAGGAAAGCUGCUCUUAGUUGAGCUCCUUC